rnacentral:lncRNA from 1 species
UUUUUUUUUCAUGGUAGUCAUAACUUUCAUAGCUGAAUGUAAAUUUCCACACUGCCUCUGUUCCAUGACUCACCUUCUCUGCCCAUACAGAGGGAAAAACAUCUCCAAAAAGGACAGAGUGAAAGUGAGGAGGGUCUGAUUUCUGGGUGGAUUGUUAAGGAAACAUCAUUGGAGGGCAUUUUUCUGUGGAGCUUUUUCACAUUUCAUAUGUUUGGUUUCAACCAAACCAAACUGUAUUUGCAAAGUGACUCUGUCACACUGGUGAAAAGUGGAGAAAUACCCUGCUUAGUUGCAAACAGACUCAGUUUAAACUUUUUCAGGUAAGGUCAGGACUAUUCCAGAAUAUUUAUGGGUUCAUCUGGCAUCUGAAUAUUGUGGAAUAUCACACAAGAAAUAUUAUCCUUGUGGCAUUUGCAGCUGAGACUGCAAGAAAGCCAAAAAUCGCAAAGGACAUCCUGUGUUUCCAUCUCACCUCCCCAGAAACUUCAGAGAAAACCUUGAGACUUUCCCUCAAAAGAUUCUCCACCCUGCAACUGGCUUUUCUUCAGCUGAGUGUGAAGGACAAGAGAAGGACUGAAAGAGCAUGGCCCAGAUAUGGAUACAGCUCCCCUGUGUAACUGGCAAAGCUCACAGACUUCCUCCCAAGUCCCAUGAAUUGCCUAACUUCAGGACUCCAGGAAAGGAACUGGCUCUUGGAGGAUACUUAGGAGAACAAAA